GAGGUUGUGGCUCAGUGGUAGAGCGCUCGCUCGCCUGUCAUGUGUGAGGCACUAGGUUCGAUCCUCAGCACCACA
rnacentral:tRNA from 1 species